CACUUCCCAACGUUUAUAGAAACUAGUUAACAGGUCUCUGAAGACGGUAAUGUAACCGAAACUAGUAAGACAAAUAUAUAAAUAAUCACCAUA